rnacentral:rRNA from 2 species
CUUGAUUAAACCAUAAGAGGUCUAGCCUGCCCAGUGACAUUGUUUAACGGCCGCGGUAUCCUAACCGUGCGAAGGUAGCGUAAUCACUUGUCCUUUAAAUGAGGACUAGUAUGAAUGGCCCCACGAAAGCUAUACUGUCUCCUUUUUCUAAUCAGUUAAACUAAUCUUCCCGUGAAGAAGCGGGAAUAAAUAUAUAAGACGAGAAGACCCUAUGGAGCUUUAAACAACUGAAACACUUGUAUUUCUCAUUAUAUUCCAGAAACCUACACUUAAUCCCACAUUUUGUUUCUAGUUUUAGGUUGGGGUGACCACGGAGAAAAAAUUAACCUCCACGCUGAAAGAGCCUAACCUCUAAACAAAAAGCUACACCUUUAAGUAUUAACACAUUAACAUAAAUUGACCCA